rnacentral:rRNA from 1 species
GAUGAACGCUGGCGGCGUGCCUAACACAUGCAAGUCGAGCGAACAGACGAGGAGUUUGUUCCUCUGACGUUAGCGGCGGAGGGGUGAGUAACACGUGGAUCAUCCCCCUAAAAGACUGGGAUAACUUCGGGAAACCGGAGCUAAUACCGGAAAAUAUAUUUAACGCAUUGGUUAAAUAGCGAAAGACGGCUUUGCUGUCACUUAUAGCUGGAGCCGAGACGCAUUAGCUAGUAUGUAAGGAAACGGCCUACCAAGGCAACCAUGGUUAACAGACCUGACGGGGUGGUCGGCCAGACUGAAAGUGAGGCACGGUCCAGACUCCUGCGGGAGGCAGCAGUAGGGAAUCUUACGCGAUGGAGGAGAGCCUGACAGAGCAACGUCGAGUGAAUGAUGAAGGUCUGCGGAUCGGAAAACUCUGUUGUUAGGCAGAAUCAAAUGUGUAAGUAACUAUGCACGUCAUGACGGUACCUAAUCAGAAAGCCACGGCUAACUACGUG